GACUACCGGGGUAUCUAAUCCUGUUUGCUCCCCACGCUUUCGUGCAUGAGCGUCAGUAUUAUCCCAGGGGGCUGCCUUCGCCAUUGGUAUUCCUCCACAUCUCUACGCAUUUCACUGCUACACGUGGAAUUCUACCCCCCUCUGACAUAUUCUAGUCUUGUAGUUUCAAACGCAGUUCCCAAGUUGAGCUCGGGGAUUUCACAUCUGACUUACAAAACCGCCUGCGCACGCUUUACGCCCAGUAAUUCCGAUUAACGCUUGCACCCUACGUAUUACCGCGGCUGCUGGCACGUAGUUAGCCGGUGCUUCUUAUCAAGGUACCGUCAUUAACACAGUUUAUUCGACUGCAUCGUUUCUUCCCUUGCGAAAGAGCUUUACAACCCGAAGGCCUUCUUCACUCACGCGGAAUGGCUGGAUCAGGCUUUCGCCCAUUGUCCAAAAUUCCCCACUGCAGCCUCCCGUAGG
rnacentral:rRNA from 1 species